CGUGAUGAGUUUUGGGAUACUGCUUCCCAUUAUGGUGGGCAGAAAGGUAUUGAUUCUCUUAAACCAAUUAACCUAUGAACAGUAAUUGCUAGUGAAAUGUUUCUUUCUUGUUCAUGCAGUCUGGUGAAAUCCACAUUUUCUAAUCUAGUUGCGGGCCUUCAUUGACAUAUUCUGAUUCAUCUAUCCAUUAACCUGAAGUUCUGACCUUGUUUCCUCACCACGCAUAUCUUAAAACAAGGUGCAGAAACACGUGCACCAUGCACAUGCAAAUGGAAGUAUGAACUGUGCAUGCAGUGCUCCAGUAUGUCCACAACACACAGGGUAGCUUUUUAUCUGUGAUUUUAUAUUGUCCUUAAAUAGAGUUAGUAAAGUGGUGUAAAAGCUACCACAAUGAAACAAAGACAGCAAGAGGGCAAAACCCGUUCUGCAAGACUUGACUCAACAAACUGUUGGAGAAAAGAGUGUAGUUUGUCUAUUUCUAUUUUCUAUGUUAGGAACAAGAAUUCUUCCAGGUGGCAAUUUUUUCGCCAAAAUCAGGAUUUAACUGUCCCUUUCCCCGUUUUUAUUAUUUCUCAGACUUCCUUUCCUAAAUUGUGAAAUACAUUGAUUUUCUAAAGGGAACUCGUGCUUUAUUAUGUAGAGAUGACCAAUCUGUGCGAUAAAGACAUGUGAUAUCAGACAUUGUGAUUUUUACCAACAGAGUUGAAUCUUGCAUAUUUGCUUUUAUUUCCUGGUCUUGUUAGUUGUUAUUUGUUUGGCUAGUUAUACUAUUUUCUUGUAGAAGCUUUUCUUGUGUACUUAUAUUCACAUCAAUUUGUCUAUAUUACUGUUGAUGUUGUGCCAUCAAGCUUCUAGUUGUUAAUUGUUCUGUUUCAUUUUGAUAUCUUAAUUAGCUUAAACUCUCUCUAUGGAAUAGACUAGCUGAAAUAUCACUCUUUAGACAGCAAUGAUUAGAAUAACAUGCCUGGAGUUGCAAAAUUCUGAUGGUUUACUUAUUGGAUAAAUUUGUUGAAGUUUUGUUGUUUGAGAAUCUCUUUAUUAAGGUUUACUAGUGCACACAUUCAUGUGACUCCUGGCUAAUGUAAUGUACUAUAUUGUACUUUUUAUUAUUUUCUGUUAUUCUCUGGAUUAAUAGCCUGCAUUACAUUCUUCAAAGAAGUGAUAAAGCCAGGACCUUUAUUUUGUCUGUUGGGCCUUUUUAUAUUCUGUCCUGGAUGCCAUAGUGCUUAUUGGUAUGUAUGUUUUGAAUUUAUUUAUUUAUUAUUAUUUUUAUAUUCUCCCAUCAGAGAUAUGGGACGCAUUUCAUGCUGCUGCUGAAACUGAUUUAACUCUCGCACAAGCAAUUGUGGACAGUGCUGGUGUGAUUAUUCAGAGGGAAGACUUGACAGUCUGCUAUGAUGAGAGAGGUGCCAAAUAUGUUCCCCCCUUUCUCUCCUUCACCUCUCUUCUACAUGUGUUUGUGCAUGAUUACACUUAUUAAUUUAUUUAAAUAUAAAAUUUAUGCCUAAGAAUUCAUCUUGUUUAUUAAAUUUCUGCAGAUGCAAAGUAUGAACUUCCCAAGUAUGUCUUGAGUGAGCCAACCAAUUUGAUUCAAGAUAAUUGAAAAUAGGGUAAAGAAUGCAAUGCUUCGUUUACUGAAUAUCUUGUAAAAUUUGUCUCAUUUUCCUUGUGCUUCUGAAAUGUUUUCCACUUUAAAUUUUUGGGGCCAUCAUUCGUGUAUAAUAUUCAAAAUCUAAGGCUAAUAUUGUGACAAACAAAAUGGGUAAAUAACUAUUUCUGCACAUUGGUGGGUUUUUUCAAUCAGUGCGUGACAGUUUCCGAAUGAAUAUGUCAUACAAUAACAUUUCUUGUCAGUGAAAAUUCUGUUGUUUCAGUAUCCUAUACGCUGCACCUACAAUUUGUAUUAAACUAGAAAGGGAGAAAAGUAGACAUAAAGAAUUUAGUAUGUAUUGAUGAAACUAUUACCAAUUCUCAACUCUCUUACUCCAUCGUGAGCCAAAUGUCAUUCCUCAGUUGAG
rnacentral:misc_RNA from 1 species